rnacentral:rRNA from 1 species
UACGAAGGGGGGCUAGCGUUGCUCGGAAUCACUGGGCGUAAAGGGUGUGCAGGCGGGCUGUUAAGUGGUGUAUGAAAUCGCCGGGCUCAACCGGGCGAGGUUAUGCCAGACUGGCAGUCUAGAGAGCGAGAGAGGGACGUGGAAUUCCGGGUGUAGUGGUGAAAUGCGUAGAGAUCCGGAGGAACCCCAGAGGCGAAGGCGGCGUCCUGGCUCGCAUCUGACGCUCAGACACGACAGCAUGGGGAGCGAACGGG